CAAAACGAGCUGAUGCAUGUCUUAUGUGCUAUCUGGACUGCGGGGAAGGAUCCUCACCAAAAAUGGUAAAUGGAUGUCCAAGUUGUACAGAGUGCGUUAAAGAUGCAAAAAGAGCUGAUGCAUGUGCUAUGUGUCAUCUGGACUGUGGGGAAGGAUCCUCACCAAAAAUGGUAAAUGGAUGUCCAAGUUGUACAGAAUGCGUCAAAGAUGGUAA